rnacentral:rRNA from 1 species
UACGUAGGGGGCUAGCGUUGUCCGGAUUUAUUGGGCGUAAAGAGCGUGUAGGCGGCCAGGUAGGUCCGUUGUGAAAACUCGAGGCUCAACCUCGAGACGUCGGCGGAAACCAUCUGGCUAGAGUCCGGAAGAGGAGAGUGGAAUUCCUGGUGUAGCGGUGAAAUGCGCAGAUAUCAGGAAGAACACCCGUGGCGAAGGCGGCUCUCUGGGACGGUACUGACGCUGAGGCGCGAAAGCGUGGGGAGCAAACAGG